rnacentral:rRNA from 1 species
UACGAAGGGGGCUAGCGUUGCUCGGAAUCACUGGGCGUAAAGCGCGUGUAGGCGGCAGCGUGUGUCGGGCGUGAAAUCCCACGGCUCAACCGUGGAAGUGCACUCGAAACUGCGCAGCUAGAGUCCUGGAGAGGAAGGUGGAAUGCUUGGUGUAGAGGUGAAAUUCGUAGAUAUCAAGCGGAACACCGGUGGCGAAGGCGACCUUCUGGACAGUGGACUGACGCUGAGACGCGAAAGCGUGGGGAGCAAACAGG